rnacentral:lncRNA from 1 species
GGAGGUGACUUUCUGCAAGGCUCUCCUCCCUGACAGGGAGCAGGAUCGGGGACAGUGUGUAGGAGCCUGCAGUCUCCAGCUGCUCUAAGUGAGCUUAGGUGGGAAAAAUCAAUUCAGUGGAAAGUCAUGGGACAGACACUUUGGCUUCAGAUCCAGGAAUAAGAAACCUGCAUUGGCUGUGCUUCGUCACUGAUUCAGGAGCAGCCUGUGGAAAGCGUGGCCUCAGCAUCAAUGUGGUGGUGAACCCAGAGGAGUGGAAACAAGGCCAACUAUUAUGCUCCCUGCAGCAGGAGACCUGAGUGGUGCAUUGUCCUGGCCAUCACAAUGGCUUGAUCAGGCCUGGAAACCAGAGAAGAUGACCAAUUUCAAAACCAGAGAAGCAACCCUAAUAUGAAGUUCCAAAUGGUGUGGCAGGAAGGUAGCAAGACACCUGGGGCAGAUAACAACGGUUUGAGCACCUGCUCUGUGGCAAGCUGCCUGAAGGGACUUGACACACACUUGCAGACAGUUCUCAGAAAAGUUCAAUAAAUUGCCCAAGGCCAAAG